GCCAGCAGUGGCUACGUUAGCUGUAGGUCCCGCGCACGUGAGGGGCGCACGGCGGCGGUCCCCUUUGCAGCCCUCCGGACGCAGCCUCGGACAGGACACAUUGGGUCUCCUCAGGGCGCAGGGGAGUUAGUCACAGCACCGCCACUGCCAGGAUUCUCUGCAGAGGAGUCACGGGAGUCUCCAGGGGAGGCGGUGCCUUUUGCAGAGCGACUUCUGGGGUCUUCAUGCAGCCAUGGAUCUGGAUAAACCGUCUGUCUGGGGCUCGUUCAAACAGCGGACCAGGCCCCUGUUGCUGAACCUGAGCAAGAAGAAGAUGAAAAAGACAUCCAACAAGCCCCUAGGCGUAAGGGAAAGGCAUCACCUGGACCGCCGCCUCAGCCUGUCCGUCCCUGACCUCCUGGAGGCCAAGGCCUUGGCCCCGGAGGGUCGGCCUUACUCUGGGGCCCACUCAUCCUACACCUCGGUGCCCAGUAGCCUGUCCACUGCGGGGAUCUUGCCCAAGAGUAGCAGUAGCUCCUUGAAACAGUCUGAAGAAGACUUGGACUGGAGCCAGGAAGAAGCGGGCCAUCUGCAUGGGGCGGAUACAGACCCCGAGGAGGCCUUCGCCUCUCCCUCCGAGGACCGGAGGGCAUCCAGCAACGGCAUCUUCGAUCUGCUCCAGAAGACCCCGCUGGCAGAGGAUGCCCUGGAAGAGCCGGAGAAGCUAUGUGGAAGUGGAGAUCUCAAUGCUUCUAUGACAUCCCAGCACUUUGAAGAACAAUCUGCCCUCGAGGAAGCCAGCGAUGGCCUGAGUAACCUCCCCAGCCCUUUCGCCUACCUCCUCACUAUCCACCUGAAGGAGGGCCGGAACCUGGUCAUCCGAGAUCGCUGUGGCACAAGCGACCCCUACGUGAAAUUUAAGCUGAACGGGAAGACGCUGUACAAAAGCAAAGUCAUAUACAAGAACCUGAACCCAGUUUGGGAUGAGGUAGUGGUCUUGCCCAUUCAAAGCCUUGAUCAAAAGCUGCGUGUGAAGGUCUACGAUCGAGAUUUAACUACAUCUGAUUUCAUGGGGUCUGCGUUUGUGUCUCUCAGCGAUCUUGAGCUGAACAGAACGACUGAACAUAUCUUAAAAUUGGAAGAUCCAAACAGUUUGGAAGAUGACAUGGGAGUGAUUGUGUUGAAUUUGAACCUGGUAGUAAAACAGGGUGAUUUCAAGAGACAGCGGUGGUCAAAUCGGAAGCGGUUAAGUGCCAGCAAGUCCUCUUUGAUACGCAGCCUGCGGCUCUCAGAGGCCCUGAGAAAGAACCAGCUCUGGAACGGGAUCAUAAGUAUCACUCUGUUGGAAGGGAAGAAUGUCUCAGGGGGAAGCAUGACGGAGAUGUUCGUCCUGUUAAAACUGGGAGAUCAGAGAUACAAAAGUAAGACACUGUGUAAGAGUGCAAAUCCGCAGUGGCGGGAAGAGUUUGACUUUCACUACUUCUCUGACAGGAUGGGCAUCUUGGACAUUGAAGUCUGGGGAAAGGACAGCAAAAAGCACGAGGAGCGUCUGGGCACAUGUAAAGUGGAUAUCGCGGCACUGCCACUCAAGCAAUCGAACUGCUUGGAGCUGCCCCUGGACAGCUGCAUGGGGGCUCUCCUGAUGCUGAUCAUGCUCACUCCCUGUGCGGGAGUGUCUGUCUCCGAUCUGUGUGUGUGCCCCUUGGCGGACCCCAGCGAGAGAAAGCAGAUCACCCAGCGCUAUAGCUUACAGAACUCCCUGAGGGACAUGAAGGACGUCGGCAUCUUACAAGUGAAGGUUUUGAAGGCAGUGGACCUCUUAGCUGCGGACUUCUCAGGGAAGAGCGAUCCCUUUUGCUUGCUGGAGUUAGGCAAUGACCGGCUUCAGACGCAUACCAUUUACAAAACCCUCAACCCCGAGUGGAACAAAGUUUUCACGUUUCCUAUUAAAGACAUCCACGAUGUUUUGGAAGUGACAGUGUUGGAUGAAGAUGGAGAUAAACCCCCUGAUUUUCUUGGAAAAGUUUCCAUCCCCUUGCUGUCCAUCCGAGAUGGGCAAACAAAUUGUUAUGUACUGAAGAAUAAAGAUUUAGAACAAGCUUUCAAAGGAGUGAUUUACUUGGAGAUGGACCUCAUAUAUAAUCCGAUCAAAGCAAGCAUUAGGACCUUCACUCCCAGGGAAAAGCGCUUUGUUGAAGAUAGCCGCAAGUUGUCCAAAAAGAUCUUAUCAAGGGAUGUGGACCGUGUGAAAAGAAUCACCAUGGCGAUCUGGAAUACAAUCCAGUUCCUUAAAAGCUGCUUCCAGUGGGAGUCCCCUCUGAGGAGCACGGUAGCAUUUGUGGUGUUUUUGGUCACCGUCUGGAACUUUGAGCUGUACAUGAUCCCCAUGGCGUUGCUGCUGCUGUUUGUCUAUAAUUUCAUCAAACCCAUGAAAGGGAAGGGCGGCAGCAUCCAGGACUGUCAGGAUAGCACAGACAUAGAUGAUGAGGAGGAUGAAGAUGACAAGGAAUCCGAGAGAAAAGGGCUUAAUCGAAAGAAUCUAUAUGGUACAGGACAUUGUUUCCACCGUUCAAAACAUCUUGGAGGAAAUAGCUUCUUUUGGAGAAAGAAUUAAAAACACGUUUAACUGGACGGUCCCGUUCCUUUCCUUCCUGGCCUGUCUGAUACUGGCGGUUGCUACCAUCACGUUGUACUUCAUCCCACUUCGGUACAUCAUUUUAAUCUGGGGCAUAAAUAAAUUUACCAAGAAGCUUCGAAAUCCCUACGCCAUCGACAAUAAUGAGCUAUUAGACUUCCUCUCCAGGGUACCGUCUGAUGUUCAAAAGGUGCAGUACACGGAGCUGAGGCCCAGCAGCAGCCAGAGCCCCCUGCGCAAGAAGCGCAGCGGUCUCUAGGACGCGCACCGACUGUGGACACCAGCGCCCGAUUCUGGGUUUGGGUGAUUAGACCAAUAUUAUUGUUCUUUCGGUGGUACCCGUGGUGUCAUUUUGACAUGCAUGUUGUGUGGCGCCCUCUCUGGACUCUUCCCCCUCCUUCAAGUGCAUGGAUGCACACGCACAGACGGGCGCAUGCACACGCGUGGGUGCCUACUUGCACAGCAGGUCAACCCGGCGGAAGGAGACAGGCUGGAGACUGUGAAAGACUAAGGCCGCCAUGGGCCUCAACGCCCUCCUUGAGAACAGCCGGGAGACCACUUGGAUUCUGAGAGUGACUUUGAACUUGUUUUCACACCUCUGGCAGAGUCUCAUUCAGAUUCACCUAUUUUCACUCCCCACCCCGACACUCCUUGCAGACUCCUGUUCACGUGAGUCAGUUUUAUCCCCUGAGCUAACAAGUCUUUGAUAGACAUCCUCUGCCCAAGUAAGUAUCUUCUCAACAGGUUUUUAAAUAAUGGGCAGGAGUAGCCCUCCUAUUUGGGAAUCGUUCAGCUGCGAUUAGUGAAGACCUGUAUGUAACAUUUCAGUAAACUCCUCCGUGCUGGGAGAACAGCUUGCACCCCGAUCCGUUGCUGGCAAUGGACGCCCCAAAGGGUGCACUCGUCGAAAAGCAAAAGGUUCCUGAAAGUUAUUUAGUUGCCUUAAAGCACCAUUCCUUCCAAUUUUACUGUUUGCUUAUUUCCAAAAUGACAUGUCAACAUUAAAGCAUCAGAAAGGGGGAGGGAACGAGCGAAUGAACUCUGAGACUAUUUAGAAAGGUCAAGACUGCGACGCAAGGGACCAGUAAAUGGAGCUGCUUACCUGAUUGUCGUAAGCACUUCAUUUGCUCACAUUUUUUGAGCAGAAAGUAAAAAUACUGUAGCAGUCCAAACUGAUCCUAAAUAAGCUACCCAUAAUAAAAAUAUAUAUCAGAGUCUUUUUCUGAGGAAAGGACCACUUCCUUUGAGAGUGUCUGAUUCCUGUAGGCCCCACCAUUUCACAGUGAUGCUCCCCAAGUAAAAAUUCCAAUUUGGGGCACAUAUAUAUUAUAUAUACACACACAUAAUAUACGAAAACGUCUUUCUUUUCAAAUGACAUGUAAGUUGUAAAGACUGUAUUUUGUUGACACAUACUUUGUAUGUGCAUUUCUAUAUAUAUAUAUAUAAAAUAUAUAUAUGUAUUGUAAAGAAAAGUUGAGGUAAAAAGAUCUGAUUUAAUAGUGAGUUUUACUAUGUUUUUUUUCCUCCCCUCUCUGGGUUGUAAUUUAAUAAUCUUCAAACAAAAUGUUUAUGAAAAAUGCCAAAGAUUCUAAACCUUAUCGUCCCGUGUCUGUUUUUCUUCAUAUUAUAUCUUCCGGGGUUGCUCUCCGGCUGAGCCAGAUUCCUGCAUGAUUUGAUUUACUCCCAAGUUAAUGAAGCUGGCUGGAAAGAGUCUUGCAGAAAUUAUAAAAGCUCCAGUAAAUCUCUUAGUUGUACAUACAAUAGAUACCCAAGAACCUCUUUUGUUAAACCAGUUACUCAAUCUUCUGUGUAAACAAUGCCUCAUUGUCUCACUCCCCAGCUAUCUUCUAGUGUAUCAUAGUCUAUCAUUUUGUAAAGACCUAAGUCAGACGUUUUUAAACAGACAUGUGAGAUCUGAUCAGUCAUUUGAAUGAAAACUUUCAGCAGCAAAACAACCCCUUAUUUAUUUAAAAGUGGAACCAAUACUUUAUUGUUGCUCUUUUUUUUUUUUCUGUAGAAUUUCAAAAUGAAAUAAUUCUCCUGACAAGAAGGCAUCAUUAGUUAGACUUAUUUCCUUUGUAGCCCAACUGAAAUCCUCAGCAUUAACUCUGGGCCACAAACACCAUUGGGAUGCUGGAGCAGGGCCGAAUCAACCCUUAAUAAGCUGUAUUUGGAAAAUGGGUAUUAACUGAUUCCAUACACACUUGGACAUUAAAACUCAAUGUCGGUUGUAAGUGAAAUGUGAAGGUUUAUGCAUGUCAUCAGAAAUCCAAGAUCUGGAAUGCUUUAGAUAAAAUGUAUGGAUUGUGGAUUCACAGUGUGAUAAAUAAAUAAAUUUUAGCAGGUGAGCUGAAGUUCGGCCAAGGCGUCCUCGUCCUCUUCUGAAACCUCACACACCCGUCUCCCGCCCUGCCUUGGAUACCUUAUAGGCAUGUGAACCUCAGCAGGGCAGAAACUCAACAUUCCCUCUCCCUCCAUGUCUCCAGCAUUCCUACCCUUAUGCUUCUAGCUCUCUGAUUUUGCUUAUUGGCACUGGAAUCUUCUGGGCUGGGAGGCCCUGGGCACCCCUUUUCUGUUCCUCAUGCUUCUCUCCCCUCUUCCAAUGCACAAAAUUGGGUAUAUUCAAAUGCUGAUGCAGCAUCUUACUCAUUUCUAUCUUGUCCAUUUCCUGUUGCCACCACCCUGGUCGAGGAGUCACGGCAAUGGACUCAAUAAUUUUAUCCCAUGCCCAUCCUCAUUUAGUCUGUUCUGUUCACUGGGGAUACUUUCCUCUCUGUUUCUGUCUAAAUGACGUCUUCCUUCCUUCAAAACUUUCACAAGUCUCCUGCCCAUGUAGGCUUUCUUCGUUCCUUGGCUGGAUGAGAUCCCACCCUUCUCCUUUGCCUCCCCACACCUUAUAUAUCUUUCCAGCAUCUGUCAUAUUCUGCCACAGCUCAUAGUUACCAGAGGCCUUGACUUCGUCUGUCCUCCACUGGUCAGCCCAUCCUAUCUGGUAUCUAAUAGACAGUCUGUAAAUAUACAUAUUUAACUGAUUAGGUCAUAGAGGACUUUUCCUUCUCUCCCCUUUCAUGUGUGACUCUCAGAACAGGGGGCUGAGCUGGCUAGAUGAGCAUGGUCCAUCUAAGGAACUAAUUUCUUGAUGAAAUGCAAAGCUUAUAUUGUGUGGUACUAUUUAUAAGCUCUGGCCAUAAUAUUUGUGGGCUGUCGAACAAUUUUGGGUUUUUUUUUUCCUUGUCAUUUAUCAUCAAUGGUCUCGCUGAACAAAACAGGCCCCAUUCCCAUGAUGGAGCCAGACAUUACACAGAUGCUUUGGAGCCGUGGCAUGACAGUCUGAAGUUUUAGAAAGAAAAUUCCGCCUGCAGAUUGGUAGUUAUGAAUGUUCAGGGAAGAGUCAAUUGUAGAAUUCCUGAUAAGGUGACAGGGGCCUGGAGACAGGGGCCUGGACUUCCAAAUAGUGGCACUGAAAGCAGAAGAAAAUGGAAGUGAAAUUGGGAGAUGGUUAGGGGGUAAAGUGAGCAGGACCUACCGGUGGCCUAAGUGGGGGUGAGGGAGAGGAUAGGGUCAAAGGUAACUCUCAGUCUUCUCAUCUCCAGGUCUAGGAAGAUGGCGCUGCCCUUGGCUGAGGGAGAGAAUUACAGAAGCCACCAGGGAGGAAGUGCAUGAGCCUAGUUUUCAAAGGUGUUGAAUUUGCAGUGCUUGAGAAGCAUCUAAUGGGGAUUUCAAAGAGGUAAACGGAUGUAUGGAUCUGGAACACUGAAUGAAUGCACGGCACUUGAGAGAGACACAUUUAAGGGCCAACAUUCAUAGAAAAGGAUUGAAGUUACAUGUUGGAAGAGUUUUGAACUCAACACUCAAAGACACAUGGAUAAAGAGGAGUCACCUAAGAGUGUAAAUAGAACUAGGAUGAGAGGAGGAAAAGCAGGCAGCAUGUGCUUUCAUAGAAUGUAACAGUAGCAUUUCAAGACAGCAGAUGUGAUCCAUAGUGCUAGAUUUCACUGACAUCACAUAAGCUGAGGACAGCAUAGUGACCUUAAUUUCAUGACAUGGCAAUUUGGAGGACCUUGUCAACAAGUCAUUUUAGUGGAGUGGCAGGAAUGGAAAAUGGAUUUGGGUUGAGAAGUGAUUGGACAUAGGAAAAUGGGGACUCGGAAUGAAGGUAACUCUGGAGAAGUUCCACUGGAAGAAGAGGGGAGAAGCAGGGCAGUGACAGGAACGAAAGAAGGUCUAUGCCAUCCAGCUUCUUAGAGUCACUCCAUGGGAUGGUGUUAGUAAGGAAAAAAAUUAGAUGUAUCAUAAACUCAGUGUACACCUAGUAGCUGCAAAAAUUCCUCAUGAGCCUGAGCUAGAACUCAUCAUAUUUGUUACUUAAAACCAUCCUCUGUCAAAACCCACCUCUCCUUUACAUAGUAUUAAUCUAACUUUUAUGGCAGCAGAAUGGUCAAAAAAUUGAAAUAGGAUAUCCUCUGAAAAUAUUAUGAAUAGUCAAUUGAUAAUUGAAUGGAAAUUGAAGGGUGACUUCUAAAGAACGGCUUAAAGCUUGUUACCUCUUUAUAUAUAAGUUUCUUUUUAUAAAGCCUGCCUUCUUAUUCUGGCAUUUUAAUAUAGUGAUUUACAUGGGGAAAAUGGAUAGUCAAGCAUAAGAAUAGUUAACAUUUUAUAACACUCAUCAAAUGGCAGGAACUUUCUAAAUGUUGUAGAUGUAAUUUAAUAAUUUAAUAAUAAAAAUAUGAAAUUGAAAAAAACACCAAUAUUAUACAAACUCUGAAAAAAGCUAACACUUUUCUACACAUUUUAUGAGGCCCAUAUAAUCCUCAUCUCAAAACCUAGCCAGGUGAUACAAGAAUGGAAAAUUACUUACCAAACUUCUUUAUGAAUAUAGAUGUAAAAUUAUGAAAGAUAUAUAAGCCUCUGCACUGAAAAAAUAAUGAGAAGAAGGAGAUAAAUAAAUGAAGGGAUUCAUGCAUUAGAAUAUUCAAUGUAUUAAGAUGUCAAUAGAUUGAAUGUAAGCCCAAUAAAAAUUAUAAGGCAAUUUUUGCAGAAAUGAACCAGCAGAUUCUGAAAUGUGUAUGGAAUUACAAGAGUUCAAGAAGAGCUAAAGCAGUCUUACAGAUGACUAACACUAGCAGAUACCAGGAUAUAUUAUAAAACUAUUGUAACUAAGAAAAUAUGGUAUUAGACAAGAAGUACAAAAGAGCAGAAGCAGACCCACACAUGUUUGGCGUAACCUCUGACCUAUGUCAAAGGUAACUUAUUUGCAGUGUAUAUGGAAGAGACCUUUUUGGAAAAUGAUGCUGGGUGAUUUUAGUAUCCAUGAGGAAAAAUUAAAUUGACCUGUUCUUUAUACCACUCACAAAAAUGAGUUCGACAUAAAUUUGCAGACCCAAAAGUGGAAGGCAAAAUAAAAAUUUCAGAAAAUGACAUAGGAAAAUGUAUUCACACAUAUGUGUGAAACAAAGAUUUCUUAGGCUGGAGACAAGACACCAAUCAUACAGGGAAGGUAUUGAUAAAUUGGAGAUUAUGAAAAGUAAUCUUUUCUCAAAAAUAUUGAGUGGAAGGGUAAGCCACAAAAUAGGAGAAGAUAUGUAAUCUUUCUAUAUAAUCUCACAAAGUACUAUUACCUAGAAUACAAAAAAUGUUUCUACAAUGAAAACGCAGUAGAAAAAUGACCAAAAGACUUGAAUAGACACUUUAUGAAAGAGCCUAUCCAAAUGGCCAGUAAGUUUAUAAAAAAGGUGCUCAACAUCAUUAGUUAUCAGCCAAGUGCAAGUUGAACCCCCAAAACAACACUCCUGCACAUAGUCUGAAUGGCUAAAAUAGAAAAGUCAGUAGCAAGUGCUGUCAAAGAUAUGGGAAAAAUCAUUCUCAUGCCUCCUGGUGGGUGGAAGUAUAUGUUGGUAUGACAACUUUGCAACACUGGCAGUAUCUAUUAAAGGCAACCAUCCACAUACCUUAUAAGCCUUCCCAGCCUGUUACUCUUAGGUGUAUAAGCAACAGAUAAUGUGCCCACGUUCAAUAAAAGACAUGCCCCAGAAUGCUGAUAGCAGCACUGUUGGUAUUAUUCCAAACUGGGAACAGUGUAUAUCCAUCAGUAUCUGAGUUGAUCAAUAAGCUGUGACUCGGUGACGGAAUACCACACGGAAAUGAAAUAAAAAAAACUAAUGUUAUACGCAACCACAUGGAUAGAUUUCACAAAAGAUGUUAAGCCCAUGAACUAAGACACAAGCACAGAAGAAUUCAAUGUGUGAUCUCAUUUAUGUAAAAUUGAAAAGCAGGCAAAAUAUAAUCUACGGUGUCAGAAGUCAGGAGGCUGGGGGCUUAGACUGAGAUCAUGAACAGGCUCCUGGGAUGAUGUUAAUGUUCUGGUGGUUUGGUUCGGGGCUGUGGUUAACAUGAACUUGUCUGCUUUGUGAAAUUCAUUGAGCUGUAAUCUUAGGACUUGUGUAAUUUUCUGCAUGUUUACUACAGAAAAAAAAAAAGAAAACCUAUGAAGCAUGACAGCUUUAUCCCUAAUUUAGAAUAAAAGAAACUGAGGCCAAUCACUGUUAAGUAUUUUAAACAUGAAAAAUGAGAACUGAGUCAAAUAAACAUUUUAAAUGGUGUCAGAGCGAGGAGUCGUUUUCAAUAGUAAACCCAAAAGAGAUGGUUCCUCUAUAACCUUAUGGCGUGUGAAACUCAGGUUUAUUUUAGCACAAAUCCAUCCUCGGUUUUUAAAUAACUUUGUUAUCAGGGAACUCAAAAUGACUUCCCCUAACUGAUCACCUAUGAUAGCAUUAAAAAGGCUUAUACUCCGUCUAAACAGGUGAAGAACAGGAGAAAGGGACUUAAAACAGGAAGACGAAUGGCUUUUUCAAAGGGGAGGAAGAGACACAGGGCACAUGGGAACACAAAUGACUUUUAGGGAAAAUAGAUCAGUCCUUCGGAGACUAGAGGUGGGAUGGUUGUGUGGCCAUCUCCUUUUCCCAGCCGUGUCCCUUUCCCGGCUGUGUCUUCUCAUCCUCUCAGGUGCUGGGAGUCAGUCUUCCCAGGUUGCUCUUGGGGAGGGGAUUUAAAACAACUGAGUUCCUUUGGGAGGCUCUUCUUUUAUUCAGCUAAAGAAGUUAGGGGGUGGGGGAGGGGGAAUCCUUUAUCUGUUGGUUCUCAAAUGCUUUCAGCUCAAAAUAAUUUUACGCCACAGUGGCAUAAUCUGGACUCCCCCACCCCUCGAUAUGCAUAUGUGUAUAGAUAUAUACACACAUAUUCCUAAAUUUUUGUGAAAUUACAUGUACCUCUAAAAACUGUUCCAUAGACUCCAAUUAAAAGCCAAAGAACCCGUGUUUUCAGGCAAAACAUUCAGAGUGUACCUCUUGCUACAUUUGAAACCUCAGGGCGAAGAAUGUGUUUUUACGGAGCCCCAUGUCAGCAGUCUGCUCUGCCAGAAUUCAGCUCAUUUAUGAUUUCAUCCAGCUUUUCUCUGGGAAAUAUUUUAUUAGGCCAGUCUUUCUUAGCUGAGAAAAUCCUGAGAUUUCCAUUUGUUUUCCGCCCCUUUAAUUCAUUAUGGUAAUACAUACAAGCCUCUCUUCUGCGUGUGUUUUCAUUAUUAGAUGAAAACAAGAGGUUGGAAAAGUAAAAACACAUGAGCCCACGUAACUGCAGAACAAAUGGCCGGCAUGACUGAUUUAGUGUGCAUCUGCCGGAUUAUGAUCUGGUGGUGGAAUUGUGAUCUACGCAGUGGUAGAUGCUUGUCUUGAAUUUGUUUGUAUUUGUGUAUGUGUACCCCCUAAAGGCCUGCACAAGCUGAAGCGAUCCAGC